UACAAGGCUUCGGCCAAGUUGAAGGGAUGACUUAGUGGCGGACGGGUGAGUAACGCGUGAGGAACCUGCCUUUCAGUGGGGGACAACAGUUGGAAACGACUGCUAAUACCGCAUAAUGUUUCUGGACCGCAUGAUUUGGAAACCAAAGCUUUAUGUGCUGAAAGAUGGCCUCGCGUCUGAUUAGCUAGUUGGUGAGGUAAUGGCCCACCAAGGCGACGAUCGGUAGCCGGACUGAGAGGUUGAACGGCCACAUUGGGACUGAGACACGGCCCAGACUCC
rnacentral:rRNA from 1 species